ACAGCAGUCGCCGCGGGAAUACGUAGGGUGCAAGCGUUAUCCGGAAUUAUUGGGCGUAAAGAGCUCGUAGGCGGUUUGUCGCGUCUGCUGUGAAAACUGGAGGCUCAACCUCCAGCCUGCAGUGGGUACGGGCAGACUAGAGUGCGGUAGGGGAGAUUGGAAUUCCUGGUGUAGCGGUGGAAUGCGCAGAUAUCAGGAGGAACACCGAUGGCGAAGGCAGAUCUCUGGGCCGUAACUGACGCUGAGGAGCGAAAGCAUGGGGAGCGAACAGGAUUAGAUACCCCUGUAGUCCCUGUCUCUUAUAC
rnacentral:rRNA from 1 species